UGGCCUGUGCAGUAUCAGCUAGUUGGUAGGGUAAUAGCCUACCAAGGCAAUGACGCUUAGGGGAGGUGAGAGCCUGGCCCCCACCGAUGGUACUGAGACACGGACCAUACACCUACGGGUGGCUGCAGUCGAGAAUCUUCCGCAAUGGACGCAAGUCUGACGGAGCGACGCCGCGUGACUGAUGAAGUCUUUCGGGAUGUAAAGGUCUUUUAUGAAGGAGAAAGUUUUGAUAGUACUUCAUGAAUAAGGGGUUGCUAAACUCGUGCCAGCAGCAGCGGUAAUACGAGUACCCCAAGCGUUAUCCGGAAUUAUUGGGCGUAAAGGGUAUGUAGGUUGUUAUGUUAGUCUUUUGUCAAAGCCUUCGGCUCAACCGGAGAAUUGCGGGAGAAACGGCAUAACUAGAGGGCGCGAGAGGUUUGCGGAACUCAUGGUGUAGGGGUGAAAUCCGUUGAUAUCAUGGGGAACACCAAAAGCGAAGGCAGCAAACUGGCGCGUUUCUGACGCUGAGAUACGAAAGCGUAGGUAGCGAAUGGGAUUAGAUACCCCAGUAGUCUACGCCCUAAACGAUGAUAUCUAGCUUUUCGGAGUAUCGACCCUCUGAGAGGCACAGCUAACGCGUUAAGAUAUCCGCCUGGGAAGUACGACCGCAAGGUUAAAACUCAAAGGAAUUGACGG
rnacentral:rRNA from 1 species